rnacentral:rRNA from 1 species
UACGUAGGGGGCGAGCGUUGUCCGAAGUUACUGGGCGUAAAGCGCGCGUAGGCUGGUCGUUAAGUCUGCUGUGAAAGUCCAGGGCUCAACCCUGGAAUGCCAGUGGAAACUGUCAAGCUAGAGUCCGGAAGAGGCGAGUGGAACUCCUGGUGUAGCGGUGAAAUGCGCAGAUAUCAGGAAGAACACCAAUGGCGAAGGCAGCUCGCUGGGACGGUACUGACGCUGAGACGCGAAAGCGUGGGGAGCAAACAGG